AUGAACGCUAGCGACAGGCCUAACACAUGCAAGUCAGGGGCGAGCACAAGGAGCAAUCUGAGGUGGCGACCGGCGGCACGGGUGAGUAACACGUAUGCAACCUGCCUGUAAGCGGGGAAUAACCCGUUGAAAGACGGACUAAUACCGCAUAAUACUAAAUUACUGCAUGGUAAUUUAUUUAAACAUUUAUGGCUUACAGAUGGGCAUGCGCAUGAUUAGCUAGUUGGAGAGGUAACGGCUCCCCAAGGCAACGAUCAUUAGGGUUCUGAGAGGAAGGUCCCCCACACUGGUACUGAGACACGGACCAGACUCCUACGGGAGGCAGCAGUGAGGAAUAUUGGUCAAUGGACGAGAGUCUGAACCAGCCAAGUCGCGUGCAGGAAGAAUGUCCCUAUGGAUUGUAAACUGCUUUUGCAGGGGAAUAAAGUGCAUCACGUGUGAUGUUUUGUAUGUACUCUGCGAAUAAGGAUCGGCUAACUCCGUGCCAGCAGCCGC
rnacentral:rRNA from 1 species